UUAAGUUAUUAAGGGCGCACGGUGGAUGCCUUGGCACUAGAAGCCGAUGAAGGACGUUACUAACGACGAUAUGCUUUGGGGAGCUGUAAGUAAGCUUUGAUCCAGAGAUUUCCGAAUGGGGAAACCCAGCAUGAGUUAUGUCAUGUUAUCGAUAUGUGAAUACAUAGCAUAUCAGAAGGCACACCCGGAGAACUGAAACAUCUUAGUACCCGGAGGAAGAGAAAGAAAAUUCGAUUCCCUUAGUAGCGGCGAGCGAAACGGGAAGAGCCCAAACCAAAAAGCUUGCUUGUUGGGGUUGUAGGACACUCUAUACGGAGUUACAAAGGACGACAUUAGACGAAUCAUCUGGAAAGAUGAAUCAAAGAAGGUAAUAAUCCUGUAGUCGAAAAUGUUGUCUCUCUUGAGUGGAUCCUGAGUACGACGGAGCACGUGAAAUUCCGUCGGAAUCUGGGAGGACCAUCUCCUAAGGCUAAAUACUCUCUAGUGACCGAUAGUGAACCAGUACCGUGAGGGAAAGGUGAAAAGCACCCCGGAAGGAGAGUGAAAUAGAACCUGAAACCGUGUGCUUACAAGUAGUCAGAGCCCGUUAAUGGGUGAUGGCGUGCCUUUUGUAGAAUGAACCGGCGAGUUACGAUUUGAUGCAAGGUUAAGCAGUAAAUGUGGAGCCGUAGCGAAAGCGAGUCUGAAUAGGGCGUUUAGUAUUUGGUCGUAGACCCGAAACCAGGUGAUCUACCCUUGGUCAGGUUGAAGUUCAGGUAACACUGAAUGGAGGACCGAACCGACUUACGUUGAAAAGUGAGCGGAUGAACUGAGGGUAGCGGAGAAAUUCCAAUCGAACCUGGAGAUAGCUGGUUCUCUCCGAAAUAGCUUUAGGGCUAGCCUCAAGUGAUGAUUAUUGGAGGUAGAGCACUGUUUGGACGAGGGGCCCCUCUCGGGUUACCGAAUUCAGACAAACUCCGAAUGCCAAUUAAUUUAACUUGGGAGUCAGAACAUGGGUGAUAAGGUCCGUGUUCGAAAGGGAAACAGCCCAGACCACCAGCUAAGGUCCCAAAAUAUAUGUUAAGUGGAAAAGGAUGUGGCGUUGCCCAGACAACUAGGAUGUUGGCUUAGAAGCAGCCAUCAUUUAAAGAGUGCGUAAUAGCUCACUAGUCGAGUGACACUGCGCCGAAAAUGUACCGGGGCUAAACAUAUUACCGAAGCUGUGGAUUGUCCUUUGGACAAUGGUAGGAGAGCGUUCUAAGGGCGUUGAAGCAUGAUCGUAAGGACAUGUGGAGCGCUUAGAAGUGAGAAUGCCGGUGUGAGUAGCGAAAGACGGGUGAGAAUCCCGUCCACCGAUUGACUAAGGUUUCCAGAGGAAGGCUCGUCCGCUCUGGGUUAGUCGGGUCCUAAGCUGAGGCCGACAGGCGUAGGCGAUGGAUAACAGGUUGAUAUUCCUGUACCACCUAUAAUCGUUUUAAUCGAUGGGGGGACGCAGUAGGAUAGGCGAAGCGUGCGAUUGGAUUGCACGUCUAAGCAGUAAGGCUGAGUAUUAGGCAAAUCCGGUACUCGUUAAGGCUGAGCUGUGAUGGGGAGAAGACAUUGAGUCUUCGAGUCGUUGAUUUCACACUGCCGAGAAAAGCCUCUAGAUAGAAAAUAGGUGCCCGUACCGCAAACCGACACAGGUAGUCAAGAUGAGAAUUCUAAGGUGAGCGAGCGAACUCUCGUUAAGGAACUCGGCAAAAUGACCCCGUAACUUCGGGAGAAGGGGUGCUCUUUAGGGUUAACGCCCAGAAGAGCCGCAGUGAAUAGGCCCAAGCGACUGUUUAUCAAAAACACAGGUCUCUGCUAAACCGUAAGGUGAUGUAUAGGGGCUGACGCCUGCCCGGUGCUGGAAGGUUAAGAGGAGUGGUUAGCUUCUGCGAAGCUACGAAUCGAAGCCCCAGUAAACGGCGGCCGUAACUAUAACGGUCCUAAGGUAGCGAAAUUCCUUGUCGGGUAAGUUCCGACCCGCACGAAAGGCGUAACGAUUUGGGCACUGUCUCAACGAGAGACUCGGUGAAAUCAUAGUACCUGUGAAGAUGCAGGUUACCCGCGACAGGACGGAAAGACCCCGUGGAGCUUUACUGUAGCCUGAUAUUGAAAUUCGGCACAGCUUGUACAGGAUAGGUAGGAGCCUUUGAAACGUGAGCGCUAGCUUACGUGGAGGCGCUGGUGGGAUACUACCCUAGCUGUGUUGGCUUUCUAACCCGCACCACUUAUCGUGGUGGGAGACAGUGUCA
rnacentral:rRNA from 3 species